CCUACGGGUGGCAGCAGUGGGGAAUAUUGCACAAUGGAGGGAACUCUGAUGCAGCGACGCCGCGUGAGUGAAGAAGUAAUUCGUUAUGUAAAGCUCUAUCAGCAGGGAAGAAAGUGACGGUACCUGAAAAAGAAGCUCCGGCUAAAUACGUGCCAGCAGCCGCGGUAAUACGUAUGGAGCAAGCGUUAUCCGGAUUUACUGGGUGUAAAGGGAGAGUAGGUGGCAGAGCAAGUCCGAAGUGAAAACCCAAAGCUCAACUAUGGGAAUGCUUUAGAAACUGCUCAGCUAGAGUGCAGGAGAGGCAAGUGGAAUUCUUAGUGCAGCGGUGAAAUGCGUAGAUAUUAGGAGGAACACCAGUGGCGAAGGCAGCUUACUAAACUGUGACUGACAUUGAUGCUCGAAAGUGUGGGUAUCAAACAGGAUUAGAUACCCUGGUAGUC
rnacentral:rRNA from 1 species